rnacentral:rRNA from 1 species
GAUGAACGCUGGCGGUGUGCUUAAUACAUGCAAGUCGAACGAGAAAGCCGUUUUCGGACGGCAAGUAAAGUGGCGCACGGGUGAGUAACGCGUGGGUAACCUACCCUUGAAUCUGGGAUAACACUGCGAAAGCGGUGCUAAUACGGGAUACGAUCCUCAGGCGGGAGUUUGAGGAUGAAAGCCGGCCUCUCGAAGAAGCUGGUGUUCGAGGAUGGGCUCGCGUCCUAUCAGCUAGUUGGUGAGGUAAUGGCUCACCAAGGCGACGACGGGUAGCUGGUCUGAGAGGAUGAUCAGCCACACUGGCACUGAAACACGGGCCAGACUCCUACGGAGGCAG